UUAAAUUGAAGAGUUUGAUCAUGGCUCAGAUUGAACGCUGGCGGCAGGCCUAACACAUGCAAGUCGAACGGUAACAGGAAGCAGCUUGCUGCUUUGCUGACGAGUGGCGGACGGGUGAGUAAUGUCUGGGAAACUGCCCGAUGGAGGGGGAUAACUACUGGAAACGGUAGCUAAUACCGCAUAACGUCGCAAGACCAAAGAGGGGGACCUUCGGGCCUCUUGCCAUCGGAUGUGCCCAGAUGGGAUUAGCUAGUAGGUGGGGUAAAGGCUCACCUAGGCGACGAUCCCUAGCUGGUCUGAGAGGAUGACCAGCCACACUGGAACUGAGACACGGUCCAGACUCCUACGGGAGGCAGCAGUGGGGAAUAUUGCACAAUGGGCGCAAGCCUGAUGCAGCMAKGCMGCGDGKCUGAAGAAGGCCUYCGGGUKGUAGAGUGCUUU
rnacentral:rRNA from 1 species